rnacentral:tRNA from 1 species
UGGCUCAGUGGUAGAGCACUUGCCUUGCAUGCAUGAGUCCCUGGGUUCAAUUCCUCAG